rnacentral:rRNA from 1 species
GAGUUUAAUCGUGGCUCAGAACGAACGUUAGCGGCGCGCCUAAUACAUGCAAGUCGAGCGAGAAAGGGCUUCGGCCCCGGUAAGCGGCGCACGGUGAGUAACACGUAGGUAUCUGCCUUCGAGUGGUGGACAACCCUCCGAAAGGAGGGCUAAUACAGCAUAACGUCAGCAAUGACCAAAGACGGGCCUCUCCAUGGAAGCUCGCGCUUGAAGAUGAGCCUGCGGCCCAUCAGCUAGUUGGCGGGGUAACAGCCCACCAAGGCUAAGACGGGUAGGCUGGUCUGAGAGGAUGAACAGCCACACUGGAACUGAGACACGGUCCAGACUCCUACGGGAGGCAGCAGUAGGGAAUCUUCCGCAAUGGGCGAAAGCCUGACGGAGCGACGCCGCGUGAGCGAUGAAGGCCUUCGG